rnacentral:rRNA from 1 species
GACGAACGCUGGCGGCGUGCUUAACACAUGCAAGUCGAACGGUAAGGCUCCAGCUUGCUGGGGUACACGAGUGGCGAACGGGUGAGUAACACGUGGGUGACCUGCCCUGCACUUCGGGAUAAGCCUGGGAAACUGGGUCUAAUACCGGAUAGGACUGCACCGUGAGGGUGUGGUGGAAAGUUUUUUCGGUGUGGGAUGGGCCCGCGGCCUAUCAGCUUGUUGGUGGGGUAAUGGCCUACCAAGGCGGCGACGGGUAGCCGGCCUGAGAGGGUGGACGGCCACAUUGGGACUGAGACACGGCCCAGACUCCUACGGGAGGCAGCAGUGGGGAAUAUUGCACAAUGGGCGGAAGCCUGAUGCAGCGACGCCGCGUGGGGGAUGACGGCCUUCGGGUUGUAAACUCCUUUCACCAUCGACGAAGGGUUUCUGACGGUAGAUGGAGAAGAAGCACCGGCUAACUACGUGCCAGCCGCCGCAGUAA